AUUGAACGCUGGCGGCAGGCCUAACACAUGCAAGUCGAACGGUAACAGGAAGAAGCUUGCUGCUUUGCUGACGAGUGGCGGACGGGGGAGUGAAGUCCGGCAGACUCUACGAUGGAGGGGGAGAACUACUGGAAACGGUAGCUCUAAUACCGUAAAGUCGCAAGACCAAAGAGGAGGACCUUAGGGCAUCUUGCCAUCGGGUGUGCCCAGAUGGGGUUAGCUAGUAGGUGGGGUAACGGCUCACCUAGGCGACGAUCCCUAGCUGGUCUGAGAGGAUGACCAGCCACACUGGAACUGAGACACGGUCCAGACUCCUACGGGAGGCAGCAGUGGGGAAUAUUGCACAAUGGGCGCAAGCCUGAUGCAGCCAUGCCGCGUGUAUGAAGAAGGCCUUCGGGUUGUAAAGUACUUUUGGCGGGAAGGAAGGGAGUAAGGUUAAUACCUUGGCGCAUUGACGUUACCCGCAGAAGAAGCACCGGCUAACUCCGUG
rnacentral:rRNA from 1 species